rnacentral:rRNA from 1 species
CUCGUAUUCGAAAUAGUCUUUAUACCUAGCAGUAUCCUGAGUACGGCGAGACACGAGAAAUCUCGUCGGAAUCUGGGAGGACCAUCUCCCAACCCUAAAUACUCUCUAGUGACCGAUAGUGAACCAGUACCGUGAGGGAAAGGUGAAAAGCACCCCGGGAGGGGAGUGAAAUAGAACCUGAAACCGUGUGCCUACAACAAGUUCGAGCCCGUUAAUGGGUGAGAGCGUGCCUUUUGUAGAAUGAACCGGCGAGUUACGAUAUGAUGCGAGGUUAAGUUGAAGAGACGGAGCCGUAGGGAAACCGAGUCUUAAUAGGGCGCAUUAGUAUCAUGUCGUAGACCCGAAACCAUGUGACCUACCCAUGAGCAGGUUGAAGGUGAGGUAAAACUCACUGGAGGACCGAACCAGGGCACGUUGAAAAGUGCUUGGAUGACUUGUGGGUAGCGGAGAAAUUCCAAACGAACUUG